GCAUCAUAGGAAUAUUUGUACGUAUCAAGCGAGCAGCACAUUUCUCCUGGCAGCAUCCUUGGAGGCUUUUAAUCCAUGCUGGCUGCUUUGCCACAUAUCGGAUAUUAUCUGAUGGGGUGAUGCAGGAUCAUGUUGCAAAGCCCUGGGGAGAGUUUUCCUGAGCUGCAUCUGCUGCUCCUGCUGGACAGUUCCGUGGCAACGCUGGAAUGAGAGGCUGGGACUCCGUCUUUCCAAAGAAAAGAGGAGCCAGAGUCAGGAACCUGGCAUUAGAGCUGUUGUUUUCAAAGGAUUUGUAAUGCCUUUGUCUGCUAUCUGCUUCUGUAUGUGACUGCCCAAUUGCUUGUGUGACUCUUGAAGAAUUAAACUGUAAGCCAGGAGGGCAAGAUUUGGAAAGAGCAUUUUUCCAGGAGAGCUAGAAGAGACAUUGAUGCACCUGAGGGACCAAAACUGGGAUGGGUGUUUAGCUUGCGCAGAAGGCUGACAGGCCGUCUUGCUCCUAUCAGUGAUAUCCUACCAGCUCCUGGGAAUUCAGCACCAUGUUUGGCCUGUUCUCUGGUCCUCCUGAGCCCUUCAUUUCCAAGCUGCAGAACCGCCCACACAUCCAUCUGAAAUCAGGUUACUUUUAAAGCAACAAUAUUCAGCCUGGAGCAACUUACUCAACUUUUCGCUUUGUUUCAAGUUCUGUGACCUCCCAAGUGAAGCUGUGGCAUGUAACCAGGGAACAAAAUGGGACUGGAGGAAUUCUGGUUCUUUAACAAAUAUGACUUCAAAUAUGCAACUCUCAAAGCUUGGUAUCUCAGAACAAUCCUGGUUCUCGUUAGCAGACUGCUUGGAAAUAAAUGGGUUUUUGGAAAGGUCCAAAAAAACCCUCCUGGAGGAGGAUGUACUUAACACUUCAGCUGUUCACUGUCUGCUUUGUUUCAGAAGG